AAGAUGAGGAACACUCCUGAUUUAUUUAAUAAGAUAGUUGAUAGCAUAUGUCCUACUAUCUUUCUAUGUUUGAGUGGGGUUUUUCUUUAUUAAUGUUUAAGCCAUCUACUUAAAUUAUUUGAUGCAUUGUAGGCAGGUUUUGCUGGACGCUGCAAGAAAGGUGGGCAUAGAAGGGGCCGAAGAACUGUUUGAAGACCCUACCAAAGGAGUCGAUGGGGUUCAGGAAGAACUCAAGAAGUAUUCAUCUGGCAUCUCCGGGGUCCCACAUUUUGUGAUCAAUGAUAAAUAUCAACUCAGUGGUGGCCAGCCUCCAAAUCUAUUCAUGAGGGCGUUUGAGAUAGCUACAAAAGAUGGAGCUUAAUGGCAUUUCAAAGGAGCUCCUCCAGUAGUCUUCUCAUAUGUUAAAAAGGAAUAGGAGCAGAAUUUAACAAUAAAGUUCCAGCACAGCUCAUCGCUGAUUUGCGAAAAUAUGUGGAAUCAGUUGUAUUUCCGUAGUUCUGAUGUGGUGAUAAUUAGUGGUGAAGAUGGUGUGGAUGUUCACUUUCGAAUAAAAUUCUAGGUGAUCGGAUAUGGCAUAUGAGUUAGAAUGCCCCAUAAACAGAGCCCGGUCUGUAUUUACAUUUGGUUUGAUAGGAUGUGUGCAAGAUAUCAGAAAACAACAAAGUUUAGAUUUGAUAUUCGAAAGGAAUAAAAAAAGCUAGCAGACAGAGCUGCAUUUAAAUUGAUUGUUACCAUUUACACUGAUUCCGCAAACUUUCUGGUCCAAUACCAUUUAUUAACCUGGAGAAAAUUUCUGCCGUGUUAAAGCUUGAAAUUUGAUCAUCGACAUUUUGUUCCAAACCA